rnacentral:rRNA from 1 species
GGGAUUGCCUCAGUAACGGCGAGUGAAGCGGCAACAGCUCAAAUUUGAAAUCUGGCCCCGACGGGGUCCGAAUUGUAAUUUGUAGAGAGUGCUUCGGGCGAGGCUGCGGUCUAAGUCCAUUGGAACAUGGUGUCAUAGAGGGUGAGAAUCCCGUAUGCGACCGUGGCUCGAGCCCAUGUGAAGCCUCUUCGACGAGUCGAGUUGUUUGGGAAUGCAGCUCAAAAUGGGUGGUAAAUUUCAUCUAAAGCUAAAUACUGGCUGGAGACCGAUAGCGCACAAGUAGAGUGAUCGAAAGAUGAAAAGCACUUUGGAAAGAGAGUCAAACAGUACGUGAAAUUGUUGAAAGGGAAGCGCUUGCAACCAGACCUGCCCGUAGGCGAUCAGCCGCUGUUCUCAGCGGUGCACUCGCUCUGCGAUCAGGCCAGCAUCGGUUUCGGCGGCCGGAUAAAGGCCUUGGGAAUGUAGCCUCCCUCCGGGGAAGUCUUAUAGCCCUCGGUGCAAUGCGGCCAGCCGGGACCGAGGACCGCGCUUCGGCUAGGAUGCUGGCGUAAUGGUUGUAAGCGACCCGUCUUGAAACACGGACCAAGGAGUCUAACAUCUAUGCGAGUGUUUGGGUGUCAAACCCAUGCGCGGAAUGAAAGUGAACGGAGGUGAGAACCCUCAAAGGGCGCAUCAUCGACCGAUCCAGAUGUCUUCGGAUGGAUUUGAGUAUGAGCAUAGCUGUUGGGACCCGAAAGAUGGUGAACUAUGCCUGAAUAGGGUGAAGCCAGAGGAAACUCUGGUGGAGGCUCGCAGCGGUUCUGACGUGCAAAUCGAUCGUCAAAUUUGGGUAUAGGGGCGAAAGACUAAUCGAACUA